CUUUGUGUUAAAAAUAAGAAGUAGGGGGAAGAGUUUCAAGUGGGCGUCUGCUGUAAGGACCAAGGGUGUUUUAUUCUUUUUAAAAGGAAAAAGUGGUGGGGAAGGGGAGCACGUCCGUGAGUGGUAAGAAGUGAGGCGGCUGCACGUUUCUGGAAGUGGGAGACGGCUAUCUAACAGCAGAUGGUGCAGCUGGUGGAUGGUGGGUCUUCCCACUUUGAAGUGCUCCAACCACCAAGAGGAAUCAUCAUCAUUUUCUUAAUGGGCACAACACUAAGGGAAGGAAAGGGAGAAGCUGGGGAGUGCACGGGUUCUACUUCUUAAGGGGAAGAGUUGGUAGAUUCAAGGGGUUGGGAGGAUCCUUACGGAUUGGAAGAGUUGCUGCAAAAUAGUGAGAGGGUGAAAAUCGGAGCUGUUGAAGGACAAGGAGGCCUCGGAUUUGCAAGCCUUGAGAAGACUGAUUCAAGAAGAGUGUUGGUGCUGCAUCUUGAGGAGUUAGAAAGAUUGCUGCAUCCAGUGGUGAGGCAGAGAACGUUUGGAAGUACUACAUUCAAGUUUGGCUAGGAGGUCUUCAAGAGGGAAGAUGUCUGAAUUUGAGGGAUCAAGUGAAUUUAUUUGAAAACACAGUUGAGAAGGAUUUAGCAGAAAUGAUAAAUAACUCAACUGAAUUAUGUGAACAUUUAUCAAAAUCUAUAUAUGUAUUCAUCAUAGGAACCAAUGACUACCUCAGUAAGUACCUUGGAACAGACAAAACUUACCAAUCUAUAUCCUUCGCUGAUCUCCUCAUUGCAACAUUAUCUGACCAAUUUAAGGUACACUAUUCAUCUACUAUUAAUUUUACGGAAAAUGAUAACAACAUUUCGACACAGCGUACGUGUCAGCAUGUGAGCAGUCCACGUUUUGAUGGGAAAAAGCUGCUGAAAUCUGAGAAAACCUGCUUCAAUUGUGACGUGGCGAGGACGGGCACGGGCAGAGUAGAAGUUGCGUUUCAAAUUUGAGAUUCAUUUUCCAACUUCGUAGAGAGAGAAGCGCGAACGUUGAGAGGGAGACUGUGACCUAGAGAGAGUUGGAGAAAGGGAGUUCGAGAGAGAGAGGUCCGACGGAGUGUCGCCGGACAACGUCGAAGGCCGUGUCGGAGCUAGUCAACCCCUCCAGCCGGUUCCGAUUCACGGCCGCCGCAGCUCCGACGUUGGCCAACGAAGCGAAGACGGCAUCGUCUUCUGUCCGAUCCGGCCCAGCGAACUAGGGGCACGUUCAAGGUCUCGCUUCGUCCCUGUGCCGGAGUGCCGCCGGAGCAUCGCCGGAGAAUCGCCGGAGUGUGGACUGUUCGGUGGACAAAAAAGAGGGGUUUUCCGGGUUGGAGAAAGAUGUCUCAGUCUCAUGAAAAAACUCUAAUACUAAUCCAAAAAAUGGUGAAAGUGCCCCCACCAAAAGCACUUUUGUUGUUCAAUUCCUCAACCUAUGAGGGCCUUCAUCACACUCCUCACUCUAUCUCUUUCAUCUUAAACCAUCUCCUAUCCCAUGAUGACAUGCUACCCCAAGCUCAAUCUCUUAUCUUGCGUCUAAUCUCUGGUCGAAUCCCCUUCUACACAUUCUCUCCCUCCUCCUUAAUACCUCAACUAACACAAGCCCAUUUCACCUCUUCUUCAACUUAUGCUCCUCUCUGUGAAACAAUUGUCAAUGCUUAUGUUCAUUCUCACUCCCCUGAUCAGGCCCUCACUUUUCUACACCAGAUGAUUCACAAGGGUCAUCUUCCUACAUCAAACACCUUCAACAAUCUUCUGUGCUUGCUCAUUAGGUCAAACUGUUUCGAUAAAGCUUGGUGGGUUUUUAACCAAUUCAAGAUUAAAGUUGUUAUGGAUGUCUACACAUUUGGGAUUAUGAUCAAGGGUUGUUGUGAGGUUGGUGACUUAAUGAAAGGGUUUCGGCUUGUGACCAUGUUGGAGGAGUUUGGUUUGUCUCCUAAUGUUGUUAUAUACACUACGUUGAUUGACGGGUGCUGCAAGAAUGGAGAUGUCAUGCUGGCGAAGAAGUUGUUUUGCAAGAUGGAUAGGUUGGGUGUAGUUGCUAAUCAACAUACUUAUAGUGUCUUAAUGAACGGGUUUUUCAAACAAGGACUUCAAAGGGAAGGGUUUCAAAUGUAUGAGAAUAUGAAGCAAAGUGGAAUAGUGCCAAAUGUUUAUUCCUAUAGCUGUGUGAUUGGAGAAUAUUGUAAUGGUGGGAUGGUGGAUAAAGCUUUUAAGGUGUUUGGUGAAAUGCGUGAGAAAGGUGUUAUGUGUGGGGUUAUGACAUAUAACAUUUUAAUAGGUGGGCUGUGUCGAGGGAAGAAGUUCGGUGAAGCAAUAAAGUUAGUUCAUCGAUUGAGCAAAGUUGGCCUCAGUCCUAACAUUGUUACAUACAAUAUACUGAUCAACGGUUUUUGUGGUGUUAGAAAAAUAGACACUGCUGCUAGAUUAUUCAGUCAAUUGAAGUCAAAUGGACUUUCACCAACUUUAGUAACCUAUAAUACUCUGAUUGCAGGGUAUUGUAAGGUUGAGAAUUUAACAGGAGCUCUUAGCUUGGUCAAGGAAAUGGAAGAGAGAUGUUUUGCUCCUUCCAAAGUGACAUAUACCAUUCUGAUUGAUGCUUUUGCAAGACUAAAUCAUAUGGAAAAAGCACGCAAAAUGCAUGCUUUAAUGGAGAAGUCUGGUUUGGUUCCAGACGUACACACAUACAGUGUCUUAAUACAUGGGUUAUGUAAAACUGGUAACAUGAAAGAAGCCUCAAAACUAUUCAAAUCAUUGGGGGAGCUGCAUUUCGAACCAAACAAUGUUAUAUAUAACACGAUGAUUCAUGGUUACUGCAAAGAAGGAAGCUCUUACAGGGCUUUUAGGCUACUCAAUGAAAUGGUUCACAAUGGAAUGGUCCCUAAUGUGGCCAGUUUUUGCUCAACCAUAGGGCUUCUUUGCAAUGAUGGAAAGUGGAAGGAAGCAGAGUUUCUCUUAGAAAAGAUGAUAAAUUCAGGACUAAAGCCAACGGUUUCUUUAUACAAUAUGGUUUACAAAGAAAAGAUCAACGUUUAGAAUGCCGAACAUGGUUUAGAUCGUCAGGGCCUGUCCCCGAAGGCCACUACUUUAACUGGGUUAGUAAUGACAUAGUGCUGUGUACUCUUUUAUAGCAGGCUAAAAUUUCUACAUCCCGCAAAUGUAUUCAUUCAUCUUGGAAUGCAUCUUUUACAUUUAAAAGAAGUUCAUUUCAAAAUAACUGAAAAUACUCAAAAAAUUGAUAGAGCUCUGGAAAAAACACCCUUUAUAGCAUGUCAACCAUAUGUUCUACACCACAAUUGGCCUAGGAACUCCCCAAAACAACACGGAUCUAGCCAUUGAUCUUGGAGGAGAGAACCUCUGGCACGACUGCAGCACAAAUGCUAUAAUUCUUCCUCCAACCGUAAAGUUGUUUGUGAGUCAAAGAAAUGCCCCAAAAACGCUUCAUCCAUUGCCACUGGCUGCAUUGACACUUAUAAACCAGGUUGUGCAAUCAACGAUUUUGUUAUGACAAUGAGCAACUCAUAGUGAAAUGUUGUAUUCUUUACUGUUUUUAGUGUUUGGAUUUGUUUUUAGAUUUCUCUUAGCAUUUCAAAUUUGCUUAGAUAGUUGUUUUUCCUUUUUAGUUUACUAAUGAUAUUUUGUUGAUUCCUAGUUGAUUAUAGUUUUUAUGUGCGUUUUUAUAUUACCUGCUGCUUUAGUUAUCCUUGAUUUUAGUUUUCUCGUUUUUAAAAGUUGUAGAGCUAUUUUUAGGAUCCAUUUUCUAUUUUAAGAGUAGUUUAAAGUCCUCAUUCUAUUUUAGCAAUAUAGUUUAAGUAGUAGUAGAGCUUACGUUACUUUCAGUUUAGUCUUGUUAUUUGUAGCUUUAAUUCUAGACAAUAUGUAGAAUAUUUUGUUAAUAAACUUUGAUGUGCAAGUUCAUGGUAGUGAUUUGGUGCUGUUUUGAGUUGUGCAGUGCACUUGAGAGAGCAAUUGGCUUCAAUAUGAGCUGGAUGAGAUGAUUGGCAAAAUUGGAGAAAGUGCAGCUGCUGUGAAGGCUUGCAAGCCUGCUGCCACGCUGGAUAACUGAAGUCAAAGCUGUCUAUUUGUAUUGUGCUUAGCUGUCAAGCUUACCUGGACAAGCGGUCAAAGAACUCUAAGAGGCAAAUUUAAGAAGCUGGCUGACUUGUUACCUGGAAAAACUGAAGCAGAAGCAUGCGGAUUGUCGGUGUUACUAUCCUAAGGAAACGAAAUUCUGAUCUUGUAAGUGAUGGUGACACAGUCAAAUCAGUGAGCAUAUAUGGUUCUCCUAGACGUUGCGGUGGCCAAGGUGAUAUCCUUUCUGGAAGUGUGGCUGUCUUCUUAUCAUGGGCACGUCAACAUAUCUUGGCUGCUGAUUCAAACUCGAAUCUCAGUUGUAAAAAUCCAACAGUUGUGGGAUGCAUUGCUGGGUCUGCUAUAUUGAGGAAGGCUGCAUCACUUGCUUUUCUAAAGAAGAAAAGAUCCACAGUCACUGGUGACAUCAUUGAAUGCUUGGGACAAAGUUUGGAAGACAUUUCUCCUGCCAGUUAAUUCACUCUAGAUGCUCACCGUUGGCAACCAAGUUUACUUAUCCUGCAAUAAUAUUUUCUUUCUUUGUUGAGUUUUCUUCUUUCUUGUCUUUAUUUCUCCCAUUUUGGUCUGCUUUUUUUAUUUUGAAUAUUUAAAACAUGUCUGCCUGUUUUGCAAUGAUAGCCAAAGUGUUUUGACUUUCAUGUUA